rnacentral:rRNA from 1 species
UGGGGAAUAUUGGACAAUGGGGGAAACCCUGAUCCAGCCAUGCCGCGUGUGUGAAGAAGGCCUUUUGGUUGUAAAGCACUUUAAGCAGUGAAGAAGACCUAGUGGUUAAUACCCAUUAGCGAUGACAUUAGCUGCAGAAUAAGCACCGGCUAACUCUGUGCCAGCAGCCGCGGUAAUACAGAGGGUGCAAGCGUUAAUCGGAAUUACUGGGCGUAAAGCGAGCGUAGGUGGCUUAUUAAGUCAGAUGUGAAAUCCCCGGGCUUAACCUGGGAACUGCAUCUGAUACUGGUGAGCUAGAGUAGGUGAGAGGGAGGUAGAAUUUCAGGUGUAGCGGUGAAAUGCGUAGAGAUCUGAAGGAAUACCGAUGGCGAAGGCAGCCUCCUGGCAUCAUACUGACACUGAGGUUCGAAAGCGUGGGUAGCAAACA